rnacentral:rRNA from 1 species
UACGUAGGGUGCGAGCGUUACUCGGAAUUACUGGGCGUAAAGCGUGCGCAGGCGGUUUUGUAAGCCAGAUGUGAAAUCCCCGGGCUUAACCUGGGAAUGGCAUUUGGGACUGCAAGGCUCGAGUGCGGCAGAGGAGACUGGAAUUCCUGGUGUAGCAGUGAAAUGCGCAGAUAUCAGGAGGAACACCGGUGGCGAAGGCGGGUCUCUGGGCCGAUACUGACGCUGAGGAGCGAAAGCGUGGGGAGCGAACAGG